UGUCUAUUGCAUGUUUGAGCUUUUGCUGAUCGCUUUGGAGGGGUGCAUCACUUGAGUGGGUUGAGUCACUGACGUGAUCUUCCUGUCCGGGUCGGAGCCCCACGCCCCCCGGGUUUGUGCCAUUGGGGAGAUCUUCGUGGGCUAUACUCAGCCUUGUCUCAGGAUGGACCUGAGCCCUAGGAACAUGCCUCAGGCCUACCUGGCCUGAUGACUCCUUGCUGUCCCCAGUCCACCUGGCCGCACUGCUGCUCCAGUUUAAACUGUUCUGCCUGCGGCUAUGGAACCCUGACCUGUCCACCGGACCUGCUACCUGUCCCAGACCUGCUGUUUUCAACUCUCUAGAGACAGCAGGAGCGGUAGAGAUACUCUGAAUGGUCGGCUAUGAAAAGACAACUCACA
ensembl:lncRNA